CCUACGGGAGGCAGCAGUGGGGAAUAUUGCACAAUGGGGGAAACCCUGAUGCAGCGACGCCGCGUGAGUGAAGAAGUAAUUCGUUACGUAAAGCUCUAUCAGCAGGGAAGAAAAUGACGGUACCUGAGUAAGAAGCCCCGGCUAACUACGUGCCAGCAGCCGCGGUAAUACGUAGGGGGCAAGCGUUAUCCGGAUUUACUGGGUGUAAAGGGAGCGUAGACGGUGCGCCAAGUCUGGGGUGAAAUGCCGCAGCUUAACUGCGGAACUGCUUUGGAAACUGGCGAACUAGAGUGGGGGAGGGGGAAGGGGAAUUUCUAGGGGAGCGGUGAAAUGCGUAGAUAAUAGGAGGAACCCC
rnacentral:rRNA from 1 species